AUGCCCCCUCCUGGUGCCUUCCCUCCUGUGCCACCCCCUGGUUCCAUGCCUCCUGGCAUGCCCCCCGGCAUGCCCAUGCCCCCAGCCCCAGGGACACCAGGACCCCAGGGAGGGGGCUCAGGCCCCCCACCCGGCCCGCCACCCUUCCACCAGGGCAUGCACCCGGGAAUGCCCCAGAUGUCUAUGCACCCUCAUGGCCAUCCCCCAGGUAUGGUGCCUCCACCGGGCCCCCCAGGAUCCAACCAGCACCGGGCGCCUCCACCCCCCGGCAUGCCCCCUCAUCCACACAUGGGCAUGCCACCGAGAGGGCCCUAUGGGCAUCCCAUGGGUCACCCCAUGCAUCCAGGCAUGAGAGGACCCCCUCCUCCCAUGCCCCCACCAGGCUACGGUGGGGGUCCCCCUCGUCCGCCUCCGUUUGGCUUCCAGAGGGGGCCACCAAUGCCACCGAGGCCCCCCGGUGGCCCACCUCGAGGCCCCAUGAGAGGACCAAUGCCCCCAUAGACUACGGAGGACCACAGCAAGGCGCAUGACCAUGCUUUCAUUUAGCUCUUUUAAAAUUUGAUUUAUUUUCUAUUCUAGUACAAUUUGGACACAUGGUGUAGCUCCAUUUAAUUUUUUUUUUUUUUUUUACAUUUUCUUCACUGUACAGAACCGAACAAAGGUUCGGAAUAAAGGUUUUUAAUACAACAAAUUGGGUCUUUCAAUUGAUGUCAAGUGAUUUCAGUUUUAGUUGGUCUCCUCAAUAGGUUAAAUUCCAAAUGUGAUCAAAAGGCCAGUCGUUUGAGACUGUUGGUAGCCAGGA
rnacentral:lncRNA from 1 species